rnacentral:rRNA from 1 species
CUGGCGGCAUGCUUAACACAUGCAAGUCGAACGAGUUCGAAGAGUGAAUUUAUUCACUUUUCGACGAGUGGCGAACGGGUGAGUAACGCGUAGGAAUCUGCCCUAAAGAGGGGGAUAACCCGAGGAAACUCGGGCUAAUACCGCAUAAGCUCUACGGAGUAAAGCAGGGGAUCUUCGGACCUUGCACUUUAGGAUGAGCCUGCGUCGGAUUAGUUUGUUGGUGGGGUAAAGGCCUACCAAGACUACGAUCCGUAGCUGGUUUGAGAGAACGAUCAGCCACACUGGGACUGAGACACGGCCCAGACUCCUACGGGAGGCAGCAGUGGGGAAUAUUGGACAAUGGGCGAAAGCCUGAUCCAGCAAUGCCGCGUGUGUGAAGAAGGCCUGCGGGUUGUAAAGCACUUUCAAUAGGAAAGAAAUGCUCAAGGCUAAUAUCCUUGAGAGAUGACGUUACCUAUACAAGAAGCACCGGCUAACUCUGUGCCAGCAGCCGCGGUAAUACAGAGGGUGCAAGCGUUAAUCGGAGUUACUGGGCGUAAAGCGUACGUAGGUGGAUGCUUAAGUCUGAUGUGAAAUCCCUGGGCUUAACCUAGGAAUUGCAUCAGAUACUGGGUAUCUAGAGUAUAGUAGAGGGAGGUGGAAUUUCCGGUGUAGCGGUGAAAUGCGUAGAUAUCGGAAGGAACAUUAGUGGCGAAGGCGGCCUCCUGGACUGAAACUGACACUGAGGUACGAAAGCGUGGGGAGCAAACAGGAUUAGAGACCCUGGUAGUCCACGCCGUAAACGAUGAGAACUAGGCGUUACCCCUGCUUGCAGAGGUAGUGCCGAAGCUAACGCGUUAAGUUCUCCGCCUGGGGAGUACGGUCGCAAGAUUAAAACUCAAAGGAAUUGACGGGGACCCGCACAAGCGGUGGAGCAUGUGGUUUAAUUCGAUGCAACGCGAAGAACCUUACCUACCCUUGACAUCCUUGGAAUCCUCUAGAGGUAGAGGAGUACCUUCGGGGACCAAGUGACAGGUGCUGCAUGGCUGUCGUCAGCUCGUGUCGUGAGAUGUUGGGUUAAGUCCCGUAACGAGCGCAACCCCUGUCCUUAGUUGCCAGCACAUUAUGGUGGGCACUCUAAGGAGACUGCCGGUGAUAAACCGGAGGAAGGUGGGGACGAGGUCAAGUCAUCAUGGCCCUUACGGGUAGGGCUACACACGUGCUACAAUGGGAAGUACAGAGGGUUGCCAAGCCGUGAGGUGGAGCUAAUCCCAGAAAGCUUUUCGUAGUCCGGAUUGAAGUCUGCAAUUCGACUUCAUGAAG